CCAGACUCCUACGGGAGGCAGCAGUGGGGGAUAUUGCACAAUGGGGGGAACCCUGAUGCAGCGACGCCGCGUGGGUGAAGAAGUAUUUCGGUAUGUAAAGCCCUAUCGGCAGGGAAGAAAUUGGACGGUACCUGACUAAGAAGCCCUGGCUAACUACGUGCCAGCAGCCGCGGUAAUACGUAGGGGGCAAGCGUUAUCCGGAUUCACUGGGUGUAAAGGGAGCGUAGACGGCCAUGCAAGCCUGGAGUGAAAGCCCGGGGCCCAACCCCGGGACUGCUUUGGAAACUGUGUAACUGGAGUACAGGAGGGGCAGGCGGAAUUCCUGGUGUAGCGGUGAAAUGCGUAGAUAUCAGGAGGAACACCGGCGGCGAAGGCGGCCUGCUGGACUGAAACUGACGUUGAGGCUCGAAAGCGUGGGGAGCAAACAGGAUUAGAUACCCCUGUACA
rnacentral:rRNA from 1 species